UGGUCUUUGUCUUCUUGAUCAAAGAGUCAAUGAAUGGACAAGAUUUACCGAAAAGGGUAAUCCGGCCGUCCUUAUCGUCCUGAUUGGGUUUUACUUGGACGGCUACGAAUGAUAGGUUGUGCUUUUUUCAAAUUCCCAAAUUCACGAAACAACAAUUCGUGCCGAAGGUGUAUAUGUUCGUCUCUCUCAAGAAUAGAUAUGAGAAGAUAGAUUAAUUCUAGGCUUUGUUCUUUUAAUCCUUAUUGAGAAACCUAGCCCUAAUCUUUUUCUCCUCUUUUCUCUUUAACCUUGCGUCGAUAUCAAACUUUGUAAAGAAGUAGUUGUUUCGAGGAGGAUUAAUAUAUAGCUGGUUCUAAUGGGGAUUGUCGAAUCCAGAGUCUGAUGUAUCUGAUCCUAAGUCUGUUUACUUCUUCAUCGAAAUUUCAGAUGAAACUGAAGAGGGAAUCGGAGCGGAAAUUGAUAUGGGUUUGUCGAGAUAAGGAUUAUUGAGAACUGAGAUUGAUUAUUAAGUCAAAAUAAUUGAAAAUUUUCAGAAUCUAGGGUUUGGUUUUGGGAAGAGCAGCUGAGGCUGUGUCUGAAUCGGUAAGAAUGAGAAUGGGUUAAUUGAAGAUCGGGGUUUGAGAGUUCUUGGAUGAUGAUAAGAGUUGGGUUGAUCUCGAUUUGCAACCAGAUGAAGAAAUCAAUCGAGAAAAAAUAUUCCAGGUUUGUCGUAGUGAAGAUACCAUUAUUAUUAUGCAUCUUCGAAGGUAUUUGAUGGUUAUUGAUGUCUAAUAGACAAAGGCUGAGUUGGCCAAUUAUUAAAACAUUGUUGGAUGCAAGCCUAUGGAGUAAAUUUAACGAGAUGGCGAUGGGGUUAUUGUUUAUGAUAUGUUAAGGGGGUGAUUUAAGAGGCGAAGUCGAAUAAGAAAGGAGAUGAAGAGGAUUACCAGAAAAAGUAAUCAAUGUUCCAUCAUUUUCGCCUCCAGUUUAUCUUGCGUCCAAGCACAAAUUGAUCAUUAGUAUCAAACAGAGGGACUGAUGGGUGAUUUGACAACCAUUAAAUUGACCAUAAUCAUUUAUUUGAUGAAGAUGAAUUUUCAAACAAACCUGUUAUAUCUACACAAACCGAAUGCUGCUCAAUUAGUUCCACAGUAAACGCUUCAGCUGGAUAUCGGUACCGGAGAGGGCUCAGUUGGACGUGUUUAUCAAUAUCAAUUUAAUGACGAGAACGUAUAUUUAUCUCCUUGGUUCAGAAGAUGGUCUCCCGGUCUUCUUACUGUUGAUAUUCUCUUCUUAGCCAUGCAAAUAGAAUAUGACUAUAGAUAGUUUUCCAGAUAAUACGUUGGUGCUUCCAACCAGUGUAGAACGAACCUGCUAUCUAUCUGAGUAAACCUUUCAUUGUGGUCUAACUGCAUAAUUUUUAUGAAUCUAAUAAUUUUUCCGCUUGCAUACUUAUGUGUUCAUGUAAGAAGUGCCUCUUUUUUUAUUUCUCUGUGUACGUGAAUACAAAGAGCAUAUGUUUCCUGUAAGUAGUUUUGGUGGCAGCCAAAAAUUAUGCAAUUGGCGAAUGUGUCAAAUUUGUUUGCAUUAAAAUACAAGAGCGUGGGUAAAUAAUGCAGGCAUUUGUAGUAGUCGAGGAUCGACCAAGCGUUCUCAAAAAGAAGGAAACACAAUAAAGGUAUCUUACGACAAU